UACGUAGGGUGCAAGCGUUGUCCGGAAUUAUUGGGCGUAAAGAGCUCGUAGGCGGUUUGUUGCGUCGGCUGUGAAAUCCCGAGGCUCAACCUCGGGUCUGCAGUCGAUACGAGCAAACUAGAGUGUUGCAGGGGAGACUAGAAUUCCUGGUGUAGCGGUGAAAUGCGUAGAUAUUGGGAGGAACACCAGUGGCGAAGGCGGCUCGCUGGACCGGUUCUGACGCUGAGGCGCGAAAGCGUGGGGAGCAAACGGG
rnacentral:rRNA from 1 species